AGUCAUAUGCUUGUUUCAAAGAUUAAGCCAUGCAUGUCUCAGUACAAGCCGCAAAACAAGGUGAAACCGCGAAAGGCUCAUUAAAUCAGUUAUGGUUCCUUAGAUCGUACCCACACUUACUUGGAUAACUGUGGUAAUUCUAGAGCUAAUACAUGCAAACAGAGCUCCGACCGGAGACGGAAGGAGUGCUUUUAUUAGAUCAAAACCAAUCGGCGGCGGGCCGGACGCGUCCGCGACCGGUCCGUUCGCCGCCUGAGCUGGUGACUCUGAAUAACUUUCGGCUGAUCGCACGGUCUCGCACCGGCGACGCAUCUUUCAAAUGUCUGCCUUAUCAACUGUCGAUGGUAGGUUCUGCGCCUACCAUGGUCGUAACGGGUAACGGGGAAUCAGGGUUCGAUUCCGGAGAGGGAGCCUGAGAAACGGCUACCACAUCCAAGGAAGGCAGCAGGCGCGCAAAUUACCCACUCCCGGCACGGGGAGGUAGUGACGAAAAAUAACGAUACGGGACUCAUCCGAGGCCCCGUAAUCGGAAUGAGUACACUUUAAAUCCUUUAACUAGGACCCAUUGGAGGGCAAGUCUGGUGCCAGCAGCCGCGGUAAUUCCAGCUCCAAUAGCGUAUAUUAAAGUUGUUGCGGUUAAAAAGCUCGUAGUUGAAUCUGUGUCCCGCGCUGUCGGUUCACCGCCCGCGGUGUUAAACUGGCACGCCCGCGGGACGUCCUGCCGGUGGGUUCGCGCGCGCGUCCGUUCCGCCGCGCCGGUGCGCGCCCCGGUGCGCCCGGCGAGCGCGAGCGCGCGAGCGCGGCCCGACUUAGAAUCCCGCCGCGGUGCUCUUGACUGAGUGUCGAGGUGGGCCGGCACGUUUACUUUGAACAAAUUAGAGUGCUCAAAGCAGGCCAAAAGUUCGCCUGAAUACUGUGUGCAUGGAAUAAUGGAACAGGACCUCGGUUCUAUUUUGUUGGUUUUCGGAAUGCCGAGGUAAUGAUAAAUAGGGACAGAUGGGGGCAUUCGUAUUGCGACGUUAGAGGUGAAAUUCUUGGAUCGUCGCAAGACGGACAGAAGCGAAAGCAUUUGCCAAAGAUGUUUUCAUUAAUCAAGAACGAAAGUCAGAGGUUCGAAGGCGAUCAGAUACCGCCCUAGUUCUGACCAUAAACGAUGCCAGCUAGCGAUCCGCCGACGUUCCUCCGAUGACUCGGCGGGCAGCUUCCGGGAAACCAAAGCUUUUGGGUUCCGGGGGAAGUAUGGUUGCAAAGCUGAAACUUAAAGGAAUUGACGGAAGGGCACCACCAGGAGUGGAGCCUGCGGCUUAAUUUGACUCAACACGGGAAACCUCACCAGGCCCGGACACCGGAAGGAUUGACAGAUUGAGAGCUCUUUCUUGAUUCGGUGGGUGGUGGUGCAUGGCCGUUCUUAGUUGGUGGAGUGAUUUGUCUGGUUAAUUCCGAUAACGAACGAGACUCUGGCCUGCUAACUAGGCGUUACUUUCCGGCAUCUCGAAGGCUCGCGUCGCCCGUUCGCCGCGGUGCGGUGCGGAGUCGCGCGUACGCGGCGCUUCGGCGCUGGCGCGCGCGCCCCGCCCGCGCCCGGUCGGGCGUUCGCGGUUUUUACUGCCGGCGUACACAUGAAUCUUCUUAGAGGGACAGGCGGCUCCUAGCCGCACGAGAUUGAGCAAUAACAGGUCUGUGAUGCCCUUAGAUGUUCUGGGCCGCACGCGCGCUACACUGAAGGAAUCAGCGUGUCCUCCCUGGCCGAGCGGCCCGGGUAACCCGCUGAACCUCCUUCGUGCUAGGGAUUGGGGCUUGCAAUUGUUCCCCAUGAACGAGGAAUUCCCAGUAAGCGCGAGUCAUAAGCUCGCGUUGAUUACGUCCCUGCCCUUUGUACACACCGCCCGUCGCUACUACCGAUUGAAUGAUUUAGUGAGGUCUUCGGACCGGCACGCGGCGAGGUUCCGACCGCGGCCGAUGUCGCU
rnacentral:rRNA from 1 species